ACCUAAUAGAUACCCGGGUAGUCCACGCCCUAAACUAUGUCAACUAGUUGUUGGGAGAGUUAAAUCUCUUAGUAAACGCAGCUAAACGCGUGAAGUUGACCGCCUGGGGAGUACGGCCGCAAGGUUAAAACUCAAAGGAAUUGACGGGGACCCGCACAAGCGGUGGAUUAUGUGGAUUAAUUCGAUGCAACGCGAAAAACCUUACCUACCCUUGACAUGUACGGAACGGGGCAGAGACGUCCCGGUGCCCGAAAGGGAACCGUAACACAGGUGCUGCAUGGCUGUCGUCAGCUCGUGUCGUGAGAUGUUGGGUUAAGUCCCGCAACGAGCGCAACCCUUACCAUUAGUUGCUACAUUCAGUUGGGCACUCUAAUGGGACUGCCGGUGACAAACCGGAGGAAGGUGGGGAUGACGUCAAGUCCUCAUGGCCCUUAUGGGUAGGGCUUCACACGUAAUACAAUGGCCGGUACAGAGGGUUGCCAACCCGCGAGGGGAGCCAAUCCCAGAAAGCCGGUCGUAGUCCGGAUUGUUCUCUGCAACUCGAGAGCAUGAAGUCGGAAUCGCUAGUAA
rnacentral:rRNA from 1 species